rnacentral:rRNA from 1 species
UACGGAGGGUGCAAACGUUGCUCGGAAUCAUUGGGCGUAAAGCGCACGUAGGCGGCGCGUUAAGUCGGGUGUGAAAGCCCUGGGCUCAACCCAGGAAGUGCAUUCGAAACUGGCGCGCUUGAAUAUGAAAGAGGGUCGCGGAAUUCCCGGUGUAGAGGUGAAAUUCGUAGAUAUCGGGAGGAACACCAGUGGCGAAGGCGGCGACCUGGGCCAAUAUUGACGCUGAGGUGCGAAAGCGUGGGGAGCAAACAGG